UUGAAAGGGAAACGAUUGAAGUCAGUCGUACCUGCGGGUAAUCAGCCUUUUGGGCAUGAUUCUGUGGAGCGUGAGGAGUUAAACGCCUUCAUGCCUACAUAUUCGUGUACAUUGGGUGUACUUGCCUGUGUGGUUAGUUAACAUCAAUUUUGGUUAUCAUAAAAUGGUUGGAGGAAUGUAGCUUCGACUUCGAUUGAAGUGUUAUAGCCUUCGGCAGAUGUGAUGAUCGGGAUUGAGGAUUGCAACGGAUACCCUUCGGGGCUACCUGUCUGGUCUCUGAUCGUUGCUUUGGUGCCGAAAGCGUGCUUACGGUUAUCAAAGUCGAUGGUCAAUAGGUUAGAAUGGGUUAAAUUCGUUAAGGAUGUUGACGUA
rnacentral:rRNA from 1 species